rnacentral:rRNA from 1 species
AGCAGCCGCGGUAAUUCCAGCUCCAAUAGCGUAUAUUAAAGUUGUUGCAGUUAAAAAGCUCGUAGUUGAAUUUCGAGAUCGGCUUACUGGUCGUGCUAUUGUACGUACUGGUAUAAUCGGUUUCUCCUUUCUGACGAACUAUAAUGCCAUUAAUUUGGUGUUUUAGGGAAUCAGGACUGUUACUUUGAAAAAAUUAGAGUGUUUAAAGCAGGCUCACGCUUGAAUACAUUAGCAUGGAAUAACGGAAUAGGACGUUUGAUUCUAUUUUGUUGGUUUCUAGGAUCGACGUAAUGAUUAAUAGGGAUAGUUGGGGGCAUUAGUAUUCAAUUGUCAGAGGUGAAAUUCUUGGAUUUAUUGAAGACUAACUACUGCGAAAGCAUUUGCCAAGGAUGUUUUCAUUAAUCAAGAACGAAAGUUAGGGGAUCGAAGACGAUCAGAUACCGUCGUAGUCUUAACCAUAAACUAUGCCGACUAGGGAUCGGAUGAUGUUAAUUUUUUAAUGACUCAUUCGGCGCCUUAC